rnacentral:tRNA from 1 species
GCAUCGAUAGUUUAGGGGUAGAAUUGAAGCUUCCCAUUGUUCAAUGUCUGCUUCAGGCACGGGUUCGAGUCCCGUUCGAUGCA